rnacentral:lncRNA from 1 species
AUUAUGACAAAGCUACUUUUCAUCGCUAAUGAUAUUCUUGCUUGUAUGCGUAGAGUGAAAUUUACUUCCAUACGGUACCAUAGCUUUUCUUGGGUCCUGGGUCAUUCCGAUGUGUCUACGAUGUUUUUAAAAAGCUCUAGAUCUCCAAUAUCGUAACAAGACUGAAGUGCAUCAUAUCACCAGCCAACUUAGAAAAUUAAACUAGGGUUAUUGCCGGUUACGUCAUUCAUUUUUUAACAACAAAAACACGUAUUAGUAUAAAAAUUCUGAAUAUUGCACUGCUAAAUAAAUGCUAAUUAUAUAAAGUUUCAAAAAUAAGCAAAUUAUUAGACUCUUUAUCCUGUCGAAUUUUACGUCAGUUUAUAGUAAAACAAUUGAUUUCUUGUGUAACA